UUAAAUUCCAGGAAGAGGAAGAGUAGUCAGGAUGCAAUGUCAAAGAGAGCUGGAGAUGGUGAGAUUUCAGCACAGUAGCUAAUGGUGAAUGGGCCUCUGAGAAGCAAGAUGAAAUCUAUUUAAAUUUGGAGAGUAGUUGCGCCGUGUGUCGCACGUUAUAGCGAAUAGAGUAUGUUAGUACUUGAAGUUGAGUGGUAUUUUUGUUAAAGAAGAUACAAUUUAGGUGGCAACGCGGAUAUAAUCCGUCCUAUUU
rnacentral:ncRNA from 1 species